GAAUAAUGCUGAUCUCAACAGGUAAUAAGCAAAACACUAAAGCUUAAACAUUUUGACCCAUAUUCCAUUGUAAUAGUCCUUUAGAGUCCUUUUGUACAAAUCUGAACUCAGAUUCAUGCAAACCACUAAUAAGUUAAAGCACAUGAUUUGUUUAAAGUUGCAAGUGAGCAUAAAACUGAAACGGAAAUGCAUUAACCACAAUAAGAACCAAAACUAACUAAGACAUUCGAAGGUUUUCAAAAAUGUAGAAAACAAAACAUUUGCUGAAAACUAAUGCUAUUUGUGUUUCAAACUUCAAGCAAACACUUGGGCCUCUCUAUUUCCUAUGUCAAGGGGAUGAACAAAUACCUGAAAAUAAAGGAAACAAAAGAGUGAAGUUCAGCAGAAGGCAAAGCAGUAGCAAUAAACCAAUGAGAGAUCCAGCAAUGGAACAGUAAAAUCCCAAAACUAAGAGCUUCAAAACCAGGUCUUCAAGUCCAGAAAUCAAACCAUAUUUUUCAAAUAAAUGCAAAAUCUGACAUUUUCAGUAGUUUUGGACUAACUUAUGAAGAUCAAAUUCAAUCCAUUUCCACACUCAGAUGAGUCAAAAUUAUUUCAGAAGUUGAAAAUAAUUCAAAAAUCACUGAAGAAACUCAAUGAAACAGUAAAAGUUCGGUCGUUUGUAUUUUUCUGGAUUUUUCUCUUGAAAAGUCCCCCUUGAAAUGCAAGGUAAGGUGCCUUUAUAGGCAAAGCAUUAGGGCAGCCCCCUGAGAAUCAGUUUUGCGCCUUAGUCCUUUUCUUAUUUUCUAUUUUUGCUUAGGAAUCCUCAAGUUAAAAUUCAAAAAUCCUCUUAAGUCCCCACCCCAGCUUCCUAGAAGCUUCUUAAUCUGUUACAAUAAUAUUCCCUUACCUAGACUACCCAAAUUACCCCUGUUUUUACUGCAGAAAACUUGACCAAAACAUGGGUCAAGAUUGACCCAAAUUUAAUCAGAGGGUCUGAGUCUACAAAUUUUGCGCCAGACCUUUUCUUUUAAGCCUAAUUAGACUCGAGGUUUCACAGAAGAAAUCAAAGAAAAGAGGAGGAUUGGGACUUAACGGAAUCCACAGGUUCUUCAGCCUAAAACUUUAAGGCCCAACUAGAAAAGGCAAACUAAUAAAAACUCAGAAACACCAAGUAACUAAAAAUUAAAAAGCAUGCAGAAGAUUUGAAUUGCCGGAGAAACAGAAAAGAAAAAGCAAAAAUCAAAACAGGCAUAAAGAAACAUAAGAGUAAAAUAAAGAGACUUACAUGAAGAUUAAAAUUCAGAAAUUAAAGACAAUCAUACCUAAAAGAACAGCCUAGGCCGUAAGAAAUGCAAGAAAACUUCGAAUCUUCAACGUUUCGAAUCAAUCGGAGAUUAGUCAUGUGUUUUUAGAAAAAAACGCACGAAUAAACCUGAAAUCGUCACAGGAGCCUUGAAUUGGAGAACUUGGGGUUUUAGGGUUAAACUCUGAUUUAAGAUUCGAGAAAUUUGGGCAAGAUUCAAGGGAAACGGGGCGGAGAUUUGGAAAGAGGGGAGUGAGGGGUCAUGGGGUGUUAGUUUGGGGAUGUUUGGAGCCGUCGCCGCCGGUGGAGUUUGGGGGAAUUUCAGGGCGGCUGGUUAGGGUUAGGUCUUUGAGAAGAGGGAGAUGGGGAUGGAGGGG
rnacentral:lncRNA from 1 species